UAACGUCGCAAGCUGUUGUCAUUGGUGUGAGUUGCAGAUUGGAUGCCGAUCAACUCUUAGAGAAGAGAGUAAGGUCUCGUUUCUCACAUAGAAAGCUGUUGUUUCUACCCCCUUCGCAAGAAGACUUGCAAAAAAUUUUGCAGCACGCUUUACUACUGCCGACAGAGUCAGAACUUCCUUCUCAAUAUGUAGCUGCUUAUAACACAAAGCUUCUUG